rnacentral:rRNA from 1 species
GACAAACAGAUCAAGUUAAAAUUAUGAUAGUAAAAAAGGAGGUUAAUAGAUUUAUUAUGGAGAAAUAAUGCUUUUUAGGGAGGUGAAAUUUGUAUAAGAAGAGGUAAUUUAGGUUUCUCUUUUUUUGAGGCCUCGAAAUUUUGUUAUAAGACCGGGAUUAGAUACCCCGUUAUUCAAAAUGUAAACUUUAAUUGUGUAUGUGAUUUACUUGAGUAUUACGAGUGUGAAGUUAUACCUUAUAUAGUUCUUAAAACUCAAAAAACUUGGCGGUGCCUUAUAUCCUUCCAGGGGAACCUGUCCUAUAAUCGAUAGUCCACGAUUUAACUUUCUUUCUUUUGAAUUAUAUCAGUUUGUAUACCGUCGUCGUCAGGUUACCUUUAAAAGUUAUGAAGUUAUCGGUGAGAAUUGAAGUAGGUAAAUUUAUUAAGUAUAGUUUGCUUGGUUAUGUUCUAGACGUCAGAUCAAGGUGCAGCCCAUAGGAAAGUAGAGAUGGGUUACAGUAAUAAUUUAUUAUAAUGGAUUUUUUGUUGUAACAAGCAAAAUUGAAGGAGGACUUGGAAGUAAUUAGUUUAAAAAUAAGAGAGUUUAAAUGAAAAUAGGCUCUGAGGUGCGC